GCCUAAACACUGCUUACACUGUGAAUGUUAUUUUUUCAAGUUAGUUUUAGUGUUUGCGGUUUCAUUGAUUUGUUAACCACUCUCCUCAAUCUUCUGUUCUGUGUUUUCUUACAUUUGUGGGAAGAACAAGGUGAUCCUCUCAAUUUUACACUCCUCUACUGAUGGUUCCAGUGCCAGAGACAAACCCACCACCAUUAACCUCGACCUGCUCAAACAGAAGAGAUUACCUUCUUCUAUAGAAAACUUCCAUAUGGCUGCUUCGGAACACAUGCUGCAGACAUGAUGUAACCUUCAUUUUCCAGUGAUUAAGAAUCGUGGUCCGUCCAGGGAAAGAGACCAUUAUAUUAUAUUAUUAAGAUACUACCUUCCUAGUGCCAUACAGCCUUUCUUUACAUGUGAUUGAACUUUCUCCUUCUUGGAUACCACAGUGUGACUUUUCU